UUAAAAAUAGAAAAGUCGACCGAAGUAACCCAAUUAGAGGCUACAGCAGCAGAAGUAAACAAACAUGGCGUCCUCCAGUUGCUAGAGGACGAUGACAUAGAUGAAGAUGAGCUUUAUUCCAUGAAGGAAGAAAUUGAAAACCUCAAGAAACAAGAAGAAAAACUACGCAAACAACAGGAUUUCCACGAAACCAAAAAGCAAUUGGAUAAACAGAAGGCGAAAAUCGAAUCCCUAAAGGACAGACAGAUGUCUCAACUUGGUGAGGACUUGAGAGCAUCGAAUAGACGAGCCUAUGCUGAGGGAUACAGG